rnacentral:tRNA from 1 species
GCCAGUGUGGCUCAGUGGUUGAGCGUCUGUCUAUAAAUCAGGAGGUCAUGGUUCGAUUCCACUCAGGGCA